rnacentral:rRNA from 1 species
GCGGCCUAUCAGCUUGUUGGUGAGGUAAAGGCUCACCAAGGCGACGACGGGUAGCCGGCCUGAGAGGGCGACCGGCCACACUGGAACUGAGACACGGCCCAGACUCCUACGGGAGGCAGCAGUAGGGAAUAUUGGGCAAUGGGCGAAAGCCUGACCCAGCGACGCCGCGUGAGGGAUGAAGGUCUUCGGAUUGUAAACCUCUUUCAGUAGGGAAGAAGCGAAAGUGACGGUACCUAAAGAAGAAGCACCGGCUAACUAUGUGCCAGCAGCCGCGGUAAUACAUAGGGUGCAAGCGUUGUCCGGAAUUAUUGGGCGUAAAGAGCUCGUAGGUCGUUUGUCGCGUCGAUUGUGAAAAUCUGAGGCUCAACCUCAGACCUGCAGUCGAUACGGGCAAACUAGAGUGUGGUAGGGGAGACUGGAAUUCCU